rnacentral:rRNA from 1 species
UUGAACGCUGGCGGCAGGCCUAACACAUGCAAGUCGAGCGGAUGAAGGGAGCUUGCUCCUGGAUUCAGCGGCGGAUGGGUGAGUAAUGCCUAGGAAUCUGCCUGGUAGUGGGGGAUAACGUCCGGAAACGGGCGCUAAUACCGCAUACGUCCUGAGGGAGAAAGUGGGGGAUCUUCGGACCUCACGCUAUCAGAUGAGCCUAGGUCGGAUUAGCUAGUUGGUGGGGUAAAGGCCUACCAAGGCGACGAUCCGUAACUGGUCUGAGAGGAUGAUCAGUCACACUGGAACUGAGACACGGUCCAGACUCCUACGGGAGGCAGCAGUGGGGAAUAUUGGACAAUGGGCGAAAGCCUGAUCCAGCCAUGCCGCGUGUGUGAAGAAGGUCUUCGGAUUGUAAAGCACUUUAAGUUGGGAGGAAGGGCAGUAAGUUAAUACCUUGCUGUUUUGACGUUACCAACAGAAUAAGCACCGGCUAACUUCGUG